GAUGAACGCUAGCGGCAGGCUUAAUACAUGCAAGUCGUGGGGCAGCAUGAAUGUAGCAAUACAUUUGAUGGCGACCGGCAAACGGGUGCGGAACACGUACACAACCUUCCUAUAAGUGGGGAAUAGCCCAGAGAAAUUUGGAUUAAUACCCCGUAACAUAAUGAUGUGGCAUCACAUUAUUAUUAUAGCUACGGCGCUUAUUGAUGGGUGUGCGGCUGAUUAGAUAGUUGGCGGGGUAACGGCCCACCAAGUCUACGAUCAGUAGCUGAUGUGGAAGCAUGAACAGCCACACGGGCACUGGGACACGGGCCCGACUCCUACGGGAGGCAGCAGUAAGGAAUAUUGGUCAAUGGACGCAAGUCUGAACCAGCCAUGCCGCGUGAAGGAUUAAGGUCCUCUGGAUUGUAAACUUCUUUUAUCUGGGACGAAAAAAGGCGAUUCUUCGUCACUUGACGGUACCAGAUGAAUAAGCACCGGCUAACUCCGUGCCAGCAGCCGCGGUAAUAC
rnacentral:rRNA from 1 species